GACGAACGCUGGCGGCGUGCCUAACACAUGCAAGUCGAACGGAGUGCGACCCUUCGUGGUUUCACUUAGUGGCGAACGGGUGAGUAACGCGUGAGAAACCUGCCUCUCAGUGGGGGACAACAGUUGGAAACGACUGCUAAUACCGCAUAACACUUUAGUACCGCAUGGUACAGAAGUCAAAGCUUUAUGUGCUGAGAGAUGGUCUCGCGUCUGAUUAGCUAGAUGGCGGGGUAACGGCCCACCAUGGCGACGAUCAGUAGCCGGUCUGAGAGGAUGAACGGCCACAUUGGGACUGAGAUACGGCCCAGACUCCUACGGGAGGCAGCAGUGGGGAAUAUUGGGCAAUGGGGGGAAACCCUGACCCAGCAACGCCGCGUGAAGGAAGAAGGG
rnacentral:rRNA from 1 species